rnacentral:rRNA from 1 species
GAGUUUGAUCUUGGCUCAGGAUGAACGCUGGCGGCGUGCUUAACACAUGCAAGUCGAACGGGGAACCUUUUAUUGAAGCUUCGGCAGAUUUAGAUUGUUUCUAGUGGCGGACGGGUGAGUAACGCGUGGGUAACCUGCCUUAUACAGGGGGAUAACAGUCAGAAAUGACUGCUAAUACCGCAUAAGCGCACAGAGCUGCAUGGCUCGGUGUGAAAAACUCCGGUGGUAUAAGAUGGACCCGCGUUGGAUUAGCUGGUUGGUGGGUAACGGCCUACCAAGGCGACGAUCAGUAGCCGACCUGAGAGGGUGACCGGCCACAUUGGGACUGAGACACGGCCCAAACUCCUACGGGAGGCAGCAGUGGGAAUAUGCACAAUGGGGAAACCCUGAUGCAGCGACGCCGCGUGAGCGA